UCCCUGGUGGCUCAGACGGUAAAGAAUCUGCCUGCAAUGCAGAAGACCUGGGUUUGAUCCCUGGGUUGGGAA
rfam:TPA: Bos taurus chromosome 13, whole genome shotgun sequence.